UGGCUCAGGAUGAACGCUGGCGGUCUGCUUAACACAUGCAAGUCGAACGCAACCUUCGGGUUGAGUGGCGGACGGGUGAGUAACGCGUGAGAAUCUGCCUUGGGGUCGGGGACAACCACUGGAAACGGUGGCUAAUACCGGAUAAGCCUUUGGGUAAAAGAUUUAUUGCCCCAAGAGGAGCUCGCGUCUGAUUAGCUAGUUGGUGAGGUAAAAGCUCACCAAGGCAGCGAUCAGUAGCUGGUCUGAGAGGACGAUCAGCCACACUGGGACUGAGACACGGCCCAGACUCCUACGGGAGGCAGCAGUGGGGAAUUUUCCGCAAUGGGCGAAAGCCUGACGGAGCAAGACCGCGUGAGGGAGGAAGGCUCUUGGGUUGUAAACCUCUUUUCUCAGGGAAGUAGCUCUGACGGUACCUGAGGAAUCAGCCUCGGCUAACUCCGUGCCAGCAGCCGCGGUAAUACGGAGGAGGCAAGCGUUAUCCGGAAUUAUUGGGCGUAAAGCGUCCGCAGGUGGCGAUUCAAGUCUGCUGUCAAAGCACGGGGCUUAACUCCGUUAAGGCAGUGGAAACUGAAUAGCUAGAGUGCCGUAGGGGUAGAGGGAAUUCCCGGUGUAGCGGUGAAAUGCGUAGAGAUCGGGAAGAACAUCGGUGGCGAAAGCGCUCUACUGGACGGCAACUGACACUCAGGGACGAAAGCUAGGGGAGCGAAUGGGAUUAGAUACCCCAGUAGUCCUAGCUGUAAACGAUGGAUACUAGGUGUAGCUUGUAUCGACCCGAGCUGUGCCGAAGCUAACGCGUUAAGUAUCCCGCCUGGGGAGUACGCACGCAAGUGUGAAACUCACAGGACUUGACGGGGGCCCGCACAAGCGGUGGAGUAUGUGGUUUACUUCGAUGCAACGCGAAGAAC
rnacentral:rRNA from 1 species